rnacentral:rRNA from 1 species
AGAGUUUGAUCCUGGCUCAGGAUGAAUGCUAGCGGCGUGGAUAAGGCAUGCAAGUCGAGUGGGUUUAGACCCACGGCAAACGAGGUAGUAAUACACAGGUACGCACCGAAAAGCCGGGGAUAUACCGUCGAAAGGCGGCGCAAUACCCGAUGGUCCCUCCGGGGUAAAGGAGCAAUCCACUUUUUGAGCGGCCUGUGCCGCAUCAGGUAGUUGGUAGGGUAACGGCCUACCAAGCCGACGACGCGUAGGGGAGCUGAGAGGCUGACCCCCACCGAUGGAACUGAGACACGGUCCAUACACCUACGGGUGGCUGCAGUCGAGAAUAUUUGGCAAUGGGCGCAAGCCUGACCAUGCGACGCCGCGUGGUUGAUGAAGUCCUUCGGGACGUAAAGACCUUUUAUGAGGGAGGAAGUAAUUGACGUUACCUCAUGAAUAAGGGGCUCCUAACUCUGUGCCAGCAGCCGCGGUAAU